GUCGAACGCACGAAGUUGAAGAGCUUGCUCUUUAACAAGUGAGUGGCGGACGGGUGAGUAACACGUGGGUAACCUGCCCAUUAGAGGGGGAUAACAUUCGGAAACGGAUGCUAAUACCGCAUAGUUUCAGGAAUCGCAUGAUUCUUGAAGGAAAGGUGGCUUCGGCUACCACUAAUGGAUGGACCCGCGGCGUAUUAGCUAGUUGGUGAGGUAAUGGCUCACCAAGGCAAUGAUACGUAGCCGACCUGAGAGGGUGAUCGGCCACACUGGGACUGAGACACGGCCCAGACUCCUACGGGAGGCAGCAGUAGGGAAUCUUCCGCAAUGGACGAAAGUCUGACGGAGCAACGCCGCGUGAGUGAAGAAGGUUUUCGGAUCGUAAAACUCUGUUGUUAAAGAAGAACAAGGAUGAGAGUAACUGCUCAUCCCCUGACGGUAUUUAACCAGAAAGCCACGGCUAACUACGUGCCAGCAGCCGCGGUAAUACGUAGGUGGCAAGCGUUGUCCGGAUUUAUUGGGCGUAAAGCGAGCGCAGGCGGUUCUUUAAGUCUGAUGUGAAAGCCCCCGGCUCAACCGGGGAGGGUCAUUGGAAACUGGAGAACUUGAGUGCAGAAGAGGAGAGUGGAAUUCCACGUGUAGCGGUGAAAUGCGUAGAUAUGUGGAGGAACACCAGUGGCGAAGGCGACUCUCUG
rnacentral:rRNA from 1 species